rnacentral:rRNA from 1 species
UACGGAGGGGGCUAGCGUUGUUCGGAAUUACUGGGCGUAAAGCGCACGUAGGCGGCUUUGUAAGUUAGAGGUGAAAGCCCGGGGCUCAACUCCGGAAUUGCCUUUAAGACUGCAUCGCUAGAAUUGUGGAGAGGUAAGUGGAAUUCCGAGUGUAGAGGUGAAAUUCGUAGAUAUUGGGAAGAACACCGGUGGCGAAGGCGGCGACCUGGUCCGUGACUGACGCUGAGGCGCGAAAGCGUGGGGAGCAAACAGG